AUGCUGUACCUCUUGUCUAUAUGUUUUUGCCAUUUAAAGAUGAUUUACAGAGCACCGCAUCAAGAUAACAAAGUUCCUGCUUGCCUGAGCUGCGUCGGGGUUAAGCAGACAGGGAGAGAGCUGGAGUGUUCUGACUUUCCACCCCUGGGGAUGAUCCUGAAGAAGAAACGUUGCUCUCUGUGCUGCUCCUUUGCCCCAGUACCACCCAUCGCCCUGGUCCUCUUUGCAGGAGUGUGUACAGGAAGCAAGCAGCCAGAGAAACCCGUCUCCACCUAUCCAAGGCAGCGAGCCCAUGAAAUGGAAGAAGAACUGCAAAGAAAAGAGAAAGGGUCCUGGGGACUUUACUCAGAAGCAAAUAAUCCUGGUGACUCUUUUUGUGGAAUCUGCCCCUGCCAGAGUCCAGUUUAGCAUCUGUAGGGACAUGCCGGGCUGACAGGACCUCCCCGUCUCUUUCUCGGUCCUGCGGUUUGAGGCCAAAGCCUCCAGGCUGGGACCUAUGCUGGCCUGGGUCCUGUCCUGGCUCCGGGCCCAUUAAUUCAGGUGCUCAAGUAGGACUCUUCUCUGAGAGGUCUUUGGUAUGGAAGAAGGGCUAAGCAUAGCUUCUCCUGAGGUUUUUGUUUGUUUUUUAAUUAUGGUAAGAAUACUUAACAUGAGACCUCCUCUCUUAACAAACCUUUACAUGUAUAAUGUUAUUGACUAUAAAUACAAUGUUGUACAGCAGGAGCUGUAUGUAGCUUAACUGAAACUUUAUGCUUGUUGAUUAGUAAUUCCCCAUUUCUUCUUCCCUCUACCCCCAUUCCUGGCAACCACCGCUCCACUCUGACGAUUUUAGAUACCUCAUAUGGGAAAUCAUGCAGUAUUUGUCUUUCUACAACUGACUUAUUUCACUUAGCAUAAUGUCCUCAGGUCUGAUCCAUGUUGACACAAAUCUCAGGAUUUCUUUUUUUUUUAAUUUUAUUUAUUGGCUGCAUCGGAUUUUAGUUGCGGCAUGCAGGUUCUUCACUGGGUCAUGCAAGAUCUUGUUGCGGCGCCCAGACUCUCUAUUUGUGGCACAUGCAGGCUCAGUUGCUCCUCAGUAGGCAGGAUCUUAGUUAUCUGACCAGGGACUGAACCCUCAUCCCCUGCAUUGCAAGGCAGAUUUUUAACCACUGGACCACCUUCUUCUUAAAGGCCAAAUAACAUUCAGCUAUAUUUAUAUACCACAUGUUCUUUUUCCACUCAUCCAUUAAUACACAUUUAGGUUGCUUCUAUAUCUUAGCUAUUGUGAAUAGUGCUACAAUGAGCACAGGAGUGCUAAUCUCUCUUCAAGAACCUAAAAAUAAACAAGUGGGACUACAUCA
rnacentral:lncRNA from 1 species